CCUACGGGGUGCAGCAGUGAGGAAUAUUGGUCAAUGGACGAGAGUCUGAACCAGCCAAGUAGCGUGAAGGAUGACUGCCCUAUGGGUUGUAAACUUCUUUUAUAAAGGAAUAAAACGAGGCACGUGUGCCUUUUUCCAUGUACUUUAUGAUUAAGGAUCGGCUAACUCCGUGCCAGCAGCCGCGGUAAUACGGAGGAUCCGGGCGUUAUCCGGAUUUAGUGGGUUUAAAGGGAGCGUAGAUGGGUUUUUAAGUCAGUUGUGAAAGUUUGCGGCUUAACCGUAAAAUUGCAAUUGAUACUGGCAGUCUUGAGUACAGGUGAGGUAGGUGGAAUUCGUGGUGUAGCGGUGAAAUGCUUAGAUAUCACGAAGAACCCUGAUUGCGAAGGCAGCUUACUAAACUGUGACUGACAUUGAUGCUCGAAAGUGUGGGUAUCAAACAGGAUUAGAUACCCUUGUAGUC
rnacentral:rRNA from 1 species